rnacentral:rRNA from 1 species
UACGAAGGGGCUAGCGUUGUUCGGAAUUACUGGGCGUAAAGCGUGCGCAGGCGGUUCUCCAAGUCAGUGGUGAAAGCCCGGAGCUCAACUCCGGAACUGCCCAUUGAAACUGUAGAGCUAGAGUACGAGAGAGGUGAGUGGAAUUCCCAGUGUAGAGGUGAAAUUCGUAGAUAUUGGGAAGAACACCGGUGGCGAAGGCGGCUCACUGGCUCGUAACUGACGCUCAUGCACGACAGCGUGGGUAGCAAACAGG